rnacentral:rRNA from 1 species
UACAGAGGUCUCAAGCGUUGUUCGGAUUCAUUGGGCGUAAAGGGUGCGUAGGCGGCGCGGUAAGUCGGGUGUGAAAACUCGAGGCUCAACCUCGAGAGGUCGGUGGAAACCGUCUGGCUAGAGUCCGGAAGAGGAGAGUGGAAUUCCCGGUGUAGCGGUGAAAUGCGCAGAUAUCGGGAAGAACACCCGUGGCGAAGGCGGCUCUCUGGGACGGUACUGACGCUGAGACGCGAAAGCGUGGGGAGCGAACAGG